AUAAGUUCAAAAAAAUAAAAAUAAAUUCGACACCAGACCAUUUGGGACACGAUAUUUGCAUAUAAUUUGUAUUAUUCAUAUUUAAAAAGAUGCAAAACCAGUAUAAAAAAGGAUUGAAUAAAAUAAUUUUAAAAAUAUCAACCCCCGACCAUUGACUUUAAUGUAGGAGGGACUAAAAGCAGUCCUUGAGUACAAUAACAUCAUUUAAAUAAUGUAACAAAAAGAAAAACUCAAAUAGAACAAUUUAGUUCAGACGGCUUGGAUUUUCCCAUCGCGUGUUAAUUUCAUAUAAAAGGUGGAAGAUCACAACAGAAGUUAUCAGUUGUACAUUUCAAGUCGCAACAAACACACUGCUUCAAAGAUGAAAUACUUAGGACUUUUGUUGAUGAUUGUCUUCACAAUCCUCGUGUUCCAAGAUGUAGCUUUCGCUUGCAUCAAGAAUCGCGACGGUUGUCAGCCAGACGGAAGCCAAGGAAACUGUUGCUCUGGAUAUUGCCAUAAGGAACCAGGUUGGGUUGCCGGUUAUUGUAGAUAGAUUGAUCAAAAUGUCGAUCGAUAUCUUUAAUCCGAAAUGCAAUUGAAAUAAAUGUUUUCAUUACA